rnacentral:rRNA from 1 species
GAUUAGAGCUGCUCUUAUGAAGUUAGCGGCGGACGGGUGAGUAACACGUGGGUAACCUGCCCAUAAGACUGGGAUAACUCCGGGAAACCGGGGCUAAUACCGGAUAACAUUUUGAACCGCAUGGUUCGAAAUUGAAAGGCGGCUUCGGCUGUCACUUAUGGAUGGACCCGCGUCGCAUUAGCUAGUUGGUGAGGUAACGGCUCACCAAGGCAACGAUGCGUAGCCGACCUGAGAGGGUGAUCGGCCACACUGGGACUGAGACACGGCCCAGACUCCUACGGGAGGCAGCAGUGGUCUGCUUUUUUUUCCUGGAA